UAGGGAAUCUUGCGCAAUGGGCGAAAGCCUGACGCAGCCAUGCCGCGUGAAUGAUGAAGGUCUUAGGAUUGUAAAAUUCUUUCACCGGGGACGAUAAUG
rnacentral:rRNA from 1 species